rnacentral:rRNA from 1 species
UGCAAGUCGAACGGCAGCACAGUAAGAGCUUGCUCUUAUGGGUGGCGAGUGGCGGAGUGAGGAAUACAUCGGAAUCUACCUUUUCGUGGGGGAUACGGAAACUUAGCUAAUACCGCAUAC